GAGGGGGGAUCCCACAUAAAUGCAAGAGAGAACACACUAUUUUCUAGUGCACCUGGCAUAUUGUAUAAUUUACCUUCAUACUCCUCCAUUUUCCUCAGGUAAGGCUCGAGUUCAACAUGUUAUUUUUCUUAAAUUCAUGGAAUGAAGCGAAACAUAUAAACAUCCUGUGAAUACUUAGUCUACAAGAAGCUCAAACGAUGUAUGCAUGUAGAUCCCCAGUAAAUAUACAUACAUAAGAAUUAAGAAAUCCUCGAUUAAUUUUGAAGAUGCUCCAUCAUAAUCCCACAGUUAUAUGCUUAUAAUUUACCCUCAUGCUCCUCCAUUUUCGUCAGGUAUGGCUCGAGUUCAACAUGUUAUUUAUCUUACUUUCAUGGAAUGAAGCCAAACAUAGAGCCAUCCUGUGAAUACUUAGUCGGCCAGAAGCUCAAAAAAUGUAUCGAUAUAGAUCCAUAGAAAAUAUACAUAUAUAAGAAAUAAGAAAUCCUUGAUUAAUUUUGAAGAUGCUCCAUCAUAAUCCCACAGUUAUAUGCUUAUAAUUUACCCUCAUGCUCCUCCAUUUUCGUCAGGUAUGGCUCGAGUUCAACAUGUUAUUUAUCUUACUUUCAUGGAAUGAAGCCAAACAUAGAGCCAUCCUGUGAAUACUUAGUCGGCCAGAAGCUCAAAAAAUGUAUCGAUAUAGAUCCAUAGAAAAUAUACAUAUAUAAGAAAUAAGAAAUCCUU
rnacentral:misc_RNA from 1 species